UGCUAUAUCUGCCACAAAAACUGGUUGUGGAUGGAGAGAUUCCCCAUAGAUGAGAGGCUCAAGUUGGGGAGGAAAAUAGUUUCUGCAGGUACGGAAUUCGGGAUUGAAUUAGCAGGAUAAUUCCGACUUGAAGUCUCUCAGGAGGUUUUGGUCAAGAUGUCAGCGACGGUUGCAAUCAUGUGAAAAAUUGACUGGGACUGGAGGAGCCAUUUCCAAGGGAUGACAAGUGUUAUCACAAUGGCAAUUAAGCGGAUAAAAUUCCAGUAAAAUGAAACUUAGAAUCAAGUUGUUGUCUACUCAAGAGAAUGCGACAUUUGAGUCAGCUCUUGAAGCAUGCAUAGAAGCUAACCAAGCAGAAAAGAAGGAAGAAAAUUCCAGAGUGUGAACAGCAUGUGCAGAGACC